GCGCCCGUAGCUCAAUUGGAUAGAGCAUCUGACUACGGAUCAGAAGGUUACAAGUUCGACUCUUGUCGGGCGCA
rnacentral:tRNA from 1 species